UAAUAAGUGUUUUUAUGGCACUUUUUAAAUCCAUAUCCACCUUGUGUGCAAUGUCAGUCGAUCUUCCUCAUGGAGAUCGACCAAACAUCAACCUUUAUCUUUUAACUCUUUGUCUGAAAAAUAUUAUGAAUAAAACAAUUCAAAAUA
rnacentral:misc_RNA from 1 species